AACGAACGCUGGCGGCAUGCCUAACACAUGCAAGUCGAACGCUUUAGGGGCUUCGGUCCCUAAGGAGUGGCGCACGGGUGACUAGCGCGUGGGAACCUGCCCUGGAGUGGGGGAUAACCGAGGGAAACUUCGGCUAAUACCGCAUGCGCCCCGGUGAUAAGCCGGGGGAAAGAUUUAUCGCUCUAGGAGGGGCCCGCGUCGGAUUAGCUGGUUGGUGGGGUAACGGCCUACCAAGGCGAUGAUCCGUAGCUGGUCUGAGAGGAUGAUCAGCCACACUGGGACUGAGACACGGCCCAGACUCCUACGGGAGGCAGCAGUGGGGAAUAUUGGACAAUGGGCGCAAGCCUGAUCCAGCAAUGCCGCGUGAGUGAUGAAGGCCUUAGGGUUGUAAACCGCUGUCAGGGGGGAUGAAAGCCGCAAGGCUUGACAGAGCCCCAGAGGAAGCACGGGCUAAGUUCGUGCCAGCCGCCGCCGUAAUAC
rnacentral:rRNA from 1 species